rnacentral:rRNA from 1 species
CAGUAGCCGCGGGAAUACAGAGGGUGCAAGCGUUAAUCGGAAUUACUGGGCGUAAAGCGCGCGUAGGUGGUUUGUUAAGUUGGAUGUGAAAUCCCCGGGCUCAACCUGGGAACUGCAUCCAAAACUGGCAAGCUAGAGUAUGGUAGAGGGUGGUGGAAUUUCCUGUGUAGCGGUGAAAUGCGUAGAUAUAGGAAGGAACACCAGUGGCGAAGGCGACCACCUGGACUGAUACUGACACUGAGGUGCGAAAGCGUGGGGAGCAAACAGGAUUAGAUACGCGUAGUCCCUGUCUCUUAUACAA